CUCCUCUCCUCUCCUCUCCUCUCCUCUCCUCUCCUCUUUUUCCCUUUCCUUUCCUUUCCUUUCCUUUCCUUUCCUUUCCUUUCCUUUCCUUUCCUUUCCUUUCCUUUCCUUUCCUUUCCUUUCCUUUCCUUUCCUUUCCUUUCCUUUCCUUUCCUUUCCUUUCCUUUCCUUUCCUUUCCUUUCCUUUCCUUUCCUUUCCUUUCCUUUUCCCUUUUCUUCUUUUUCCUUCUUAUUUUUUCCCUCUUUUAUUAUUUUUCCCCCUCUUUUCCUUUUCUCCUUCUUUUCUUUCUUCCCAGUCCCGCUACCCUUUCCCAUCCAGAGACUUUAACUCUCUCCCCCCGCCGCCCAUGGCGGUCUAUAUCCUAAACGGGACCCGAUGCUCCCCGCAUUCCUUUUACAGGAUCUCGUGGGGCUUUUGCGCGGGAUUUGCGCGGGCAUUGCGCGGAGUUUGCUGUCCAGCGCACCCGGGCCCACCCGAGGCGGCCGCAUCCGAAGGCGGUGGGGCCGGGGCUGCUCGGGACGGUGGGGCAGAGGCUGCAGGGAGGGGCCGAUCUCCUCCUUCGACGGCACACGGAACGCUGCGCUGCUCACCCGAUGUCUAUUCGAUUACCUGUGAAUACGGGGUGGUUUUCUUGUUUUGUUUUGUUCUGUUCUGUUUGUGUCAAGUCGUGGCUGUAGACGACGGAAGCCUGAGUGAAAGUAAUCAGGCAACGUGAUGGAGCGAUCGCUUAAUAAAAGCCAGCACGUUGCUUUCGUGUUGGAAAUCACCGGCGACGUCUCUAAGCCGGGGGCAACUGCUGCAUUCCCUGCCGUCUCCAAGAAGGGGACCCAAACUCAGCGAGUGGGAUAGUUGGCUCCAUUCUGUUGGGGUUCUUUUGUCUUUUUUUGUUUGUUUGUUUGUUUGUUUUCCAGUGCUGUGUUUGUUUCUGUUCGCACCCGUUCGAUGGACGCGUUUCAGCCCCACGUGCUCUGCCAAAACGCAGCGUGUCUCCCCAUUGAGCCAGCGGCUGGAAAAGCUCCCGAUCCUCGCGGAAGGCACCGAAGGGAAGGCUCCGAAAUCCCGGAGCUGGUGUGUGUGAUACUUUCAGGAUUAGAGACACUCAGGAAAGAGCCAUUGCCUGUUCUCAUCUGGCUGAAACCAACCGACCGACCAACCAACCAACCCCAAACCUUUAUUGAUGAAGUUCUGUCACUCUGAGCGGGCUGUCACCUGCGGCACAAAAGCAGACGGCUCCGUCUGACUGCAGCCUGGGCUGCGUUCUGUGUGCCUUCAUCUCUCGGCACGGCCGCGCCCCACUCAGGCGCUGCUAUUCAUUCAAACGGGACGAGCCCCACUGCGCUGACAUUAACAGGGACUGGCUUUUCCCGACCUUGACAUGCCGUCAAAAGAACCUUGGCCAGGAUCAGCUCUUCAGUGCAGGUGUGUAACACGUUACCUCGCUGGAAGAAAGAACUUCAAGAAUGCAUUUUGAGAUGCGUGCCAUCAUCUUAACAGAAGGCGAUUCCUGGAGGUUAUGAAGCGAGCUCCUGAUAAAUGAAGACAUACUGUCUGAGCUUUAGUGAUCAGAAGAACACUAUGUCCCAUCCCUGGAGGCGCUCAAGGCCAGGUUGGAUGGGCCCAUGGGCAGCCUGAGCUGGUGGGGGGCAGCCCUGCCCAUGGCAGGGGUUGGGGAGGCGUGGGCUUUGAGGCCCUCUUCAAACCAAACCCUCUGUGGUUCUGUGAUUCUAUGAUCCUGAUUCUACUAUUCUAUGACUGAUUCUAUGAUUCUGUGAAAACUUGGGUAUGGCUUCCUAUGUGAUCUCUUACCGGAACGAAAACAGCCCCCGUGUUGUUCCUUUGCCCCGUCCCCAUCCCACUUGUAGGAGAAAAAUCUUUCAGCUGGGAUGGUGCCAGCAGAAGGAUGCACCCGUAUCACCAAACCCCAGAGUUCUGUCAGUGGGAUCCGGCAACAGAAGAGACCCCCAGUCCUGAGGCGUUCACAUUCUGCAGAGCGACCAUUUUGAUGACGCAACAAACUUUUGCAUGGUGACAACAUCUGCCAACUUGGAAAGUCCACGCCAGAAACUUGGCGAGAUUCCUCCUCCGUUCGUCAUGAUUUCGGGGGGCCGCAGCCCUCUCGCCUCUCGCUGGGACUCACGCUGACGGAGAAACAGCUGAACUCUGCAUUUGGGGGAACGCAUCAAAGCCCCGGGCCCGUCCGGCACCGUCCCUGGCAGCCGUGGUGUCAAAGGUUGCUGCGAGCACCUCCCCGGGUGCCCGGUGGCUUUGUGCGAGAGGGCGGCCCCAGCAGAUGGCCCGAAUGCGCCCCUCAGCCGGGCAGAGAGGGACGGCAGCACAGAGCCAUAGAUGUCUCAUUAGCAAACGGGGGGGGGGGGGGGGGGGGGGGGGGGAAAGCAAGGAUGAGAAAAAAAGAUAAAAAGAAUACACAAAGCCAUUUACAUAUUUACAUUGUUUCUCCCUCAUUUUAGAUUCUCCUUUAGCUGAAGUGUCAGUGUGCUUGCUUUUCUCCUUCUGUUUGUAUGUUUACUUGUGCUAAAUAGAUUAUGGUAAUCAGGCACAUAAAUGCAUGCAACUGUUAUUAUGGCAUUUUAAUCACAGAGUUUUUCACUGGAAGCCUUCAUUAGAAUUCUCAUAAUCUCACUUGUUAGUGUAACAAACAGCAAUAAAUGCCAAGGAACUCGGAUUAAGUCAGAGACAUUCAGACAUUAAAGGAGGAAUAUGGAAAUGCUGUGAAAUCUCCGCAUUAUUUAUUGAAAUGUCACAUAAACAGUUCAGGACUUUCAAUAUCUUACUCAUUACAGGGAUAGGGCAUGCGGCCACCUGAAGAUAGCAAUUAGGGUUUUUUAGGCAGUACGGUGACCAUAUGUCUCUCAUAGUUCCUCUCCAACUUCGCUGCACUCACGGCUGCCCGGUAGACAGUUGGACUCAACGAUCGUAGAGGCCUUUUCCGACCUUAGUGGUUCUAUGGUUUCUAACUUUGUAUUUACGGGUGAAGUCGAGCCCUGAGGCACUUCGAUGGGGCAGGGGGAUGCUGGGCCUUCUCUGAGGGGAUUCCCUUCUGCUGAUAACAUUGUGAGGAACAGAAAAUCGCUGCUUUUUGCAUGCAAGUCCUCCCGUCAAUUUCAUACGGCACCAUAUAAAGGCCACCUCCUACUCAUGAAUAUGCACAGAACUCUGCCCUCUUGGCCCCUUGCCACUGCCGAUGUAAAACACUUGAGCAGCAAAGUUAUUCAAAGUGUCUUUUUUUUUUUUUUUUUAACCCUUUUCCUUUUGUGUUUUUCCCUUUUAAGAAGAAGCAGGAAAACUGAAUGCAAAAAGCGAAUGCGGUCAUAUUGGAUUUCCCACCGUUGGCAUCACUGUGUGGCUCUCGCAUCCAUUUGAGAUGUACCCUCCCAGAUGUGGGCAAAUAAGAUGCUGAAAUAGAAGAACGGUGUGAGCUGGGAAUGGGCUGCUCUCAUGCCUUCAGCAUCAGCCCUGAAGUUAAACUCUGUGUAGCUGCUGGAUCACCCAGCAUUUUUAAUGCCGAUUGAAGUGCACAGAAUUCAUGUGGGCUAUCUAAAGUACAGGUAUUUAUGCUCUGAAUCUGAAGUUUUUGAGGUCUUUUGCUCUCCCCGUCCUAAAAUGCAAACCAUCCAGAAGGGAUUUACUCUUCAUAGAAACUGAUGCGAAGGUGAGGCCACUUCGUUCCAGACUCCCCCCUUGAAGCCCUGAGGAAAUCUCUCUGCAGAGUGAUGUAUAGAAACAUUUUCAUAAAAUCAUAGGAUCAUGAAGGCUGGAAAAAACUUCUACGAUCACCCAGUCCAACUGUCAGCCUAUUGCCCCCAUGCCCACUGACCACAUCCCUCAGUGCCACAUCCACACAGCUCUUGAACACCUGCAGGGAUGGUGACUCCACCACCUCCCUGGGCAGCCAAUUUUGUUAGAUCCAGUUGCCCUUCGGCCCCAUUUGAUGCUUCAGGAGCCCCUCUGUGCCCAGAAGAUGAGCCCUCCUGGUUUGCUUUUGGUGUUUGCCACAUAUUUUUGGAAAUGUGGCUCUGAUUCUGUGCAUUUCCCAUCACAAUGCUCCACAGACAGCCCUUUCACAAGCCACUGAGAUGCAGAAAGGUAUUCCUCGCUUAGCGGGGGUUUUAUAUAUUUUCAGAAAGAAAAAAUAAAGAGCAGAGAUUCCUUACCUUUGGUAAUGUUCUGGCAGAGGUUUUGAUCUUUUGCACAGCAUGCUGAAGUUAUUACCUUGGGCUCUUUGCGCUAUUCCUCCUGCAUGAAGCCGCCUUCCGCCAACCCACCAACCCUGCUAGCCGGAUCCUAGUGCACCUCACCUGAACCACACAGAACAAGGCUCUCGCAGAAGGUUCUGAGGGAUCUCCUUGCCAAACCCCAAAGGCUUCCUGCCCUUCUGGGGCCGCCUCUAGUGACGGCAUCAUCCCAACGGCAUGCAAAGAAGCAAGGGGGCCAUCUAGACAGGACAGCUGCUGACCUGUUCCAGUAGACUUGAAUCCAGCAAAGUCUCACUUUCUCCAAGGAAGAAAGAUGUAGGAAUCUGAUCCUAAGGUCUACCAGUAAGGGCUUUAGUGAUGCUGGUUGCCCCCUUCUUCACUGGAGGGGCACAUGUGGGUGAUUCAGUGCCUGGUAUGUGCAGCCCCUGAGGUCACUGGGUGGGCAGGGUUGGGGCAUGCUCUGCUUCCCUCUUCCUCUUGCUAUGUUUACUGUCGGCUGAGCUUUUUCAGGAGUGGGCUGAACGUGCUUCUCUGUGUCUGCCUGCAUUCCUUGCAGGGGAGCAGGUCUGCUCUGCCUCAAUGACUAGUGACACACACCGGUAUGAGGUGCUGGGUGAAAGGUAGGGGUUUGUGACAGCCCUGGGCCUGUCUGGCUGCUCCCCUUGCUGGAG
ensembl:lncRNA